CUCAGAUACAAACUGAUAAUUGUUCCGUAAAAUAUAAUAACACAAGUUAUGUGAGAGCUACAGGUAGAAAAAGCUUUAUUUCGACCACUUGCUGAUUGUAUAUUUAGGAUAGUAGAAAUAAUAAACACAUAAGAUAUCAACGUAAGUGCAAAUGUACUGACACACAGGAGAGUCCCAUAAAUAUAUAUACAUAACGCAAUAGUAAAUGUGUCACUACAGGUAAGUUUAAGCAAUGGGGUUAAAUCGCAGAAAAAGUGGUCUAUUUGAUGAGAGUGACAGUAUGAUAAGUUAGCAAUUAAAAUAGCAUGUAGAACAGGAUCAAAUAAACCCAUGACCCAAACUGAAAGUACUAUUCGAGCACAGUGCUUUGGACUCAUAAGAAUUGAG